UACGUAGGGUGCGAGCGUUAAUCGGAAUUACUGGGCGUAAAGCGUGCGCAGGCGGUUAUGUAAGACAGGUGUGAAAUCCCCGGGCUUAACCUGGGAACUGCAUUUGUGACUGCAUCGCUAGAGUACGGCAGAGGGGAUGGAAUUCCGGGUGUAGCGGUGGAAUGCGUAGAGAUCCGGAAGAACACCGGUGCGAAGGCGGCCCGCUGGGCAGUUGCUGGACACUGAGGCGCGACAGCGUGGGGAGCAAACAGG
rnacentral:rRNA from 1 species